rnacentral:rRNA from 1 species
GCUGGCGGCAGGGCCUAACACAUGCAAGUCGAGCGGUAGAGAAGUGCUAUGCACUUCUUGAGAGCGGCGGACGGGUGAGUAAUGCCUAGGAAUCUGCCUAGUGGUGGGGGAUAACGUUCGGAAACGGACGCUAAUACCGCAUACGUCCUACGGGAGAAAGCGGGGGACCUUCGGGCCUCGCGCCAUUAGAUGAGCCUAGGUCGGAUUAGCUAGUUGGUGAGGUAAAGGCUCACCAAGGCGACGAUCCGUAACUGGUCUGAGAGGAUGAUCAGUCACACUGGAACUGAGACACGGCCCAGACUCCUACGGGAGGCAGCAGUGGGGAAUUUUGGACAAUGGGGGCAACCCUGAUCCAGCCAUUCCGCGUGAGUGAAGAAGGCCUUCGGGUUGUAAAGCUCUUUCAGCAGGAACGAAACGGUACGCUCUAACAUAGCGUGCUAAUGACGGUACCUGCAGAAGAAGCACCGGCUAACUACGUGCCAGCAGCCGCGGUAAUACGUAGGGUGCGAGCGUUAAUCGGAAUUACUGGGCGUAAAGCGUGCGCAGGCGGAUUGUUAAGCAAGACGUGAAAUCCCCGGGCUUACCUGGG